rnacentral:lncRNA from 1 species
ACUAAUCUUUAGGGGAGAUCUGGCAUAUGUGGGAAGUGAUUGACUACGUGGUACCCUUUCCCUUGAGCUAGUACUAACCCAGACCCCAGACAUACUCUUGGCAUUCCAUCUUUCUGAUGACAUAUAAAAAUGAGGAGCCACACACUCUGGGCUAUUAUGGAUUCCAUGGUGCUUUUAGGAAGACCUGAGGCUUUAUCCCCAAUGUGGCAAAAUGCCAGCUCAGAGAGUAAAGUUCCAAGUACUCAAAAUCUUUCUAUACUUUAUAGAUUGUUCUGUUAUUUGCUGCAAAGAUUAACUAGCAUGAAGUAGGGAGCCAUUUAUCUGUUAACACAUUUUUUUUUCUUCCAGAGUUGCCUGCAUUUCAGCAGUGGAUUUAAGCAACCUCUAUGUAAAAUAUUGCAGCAUGCUGAGCCCAUUUUGUACAGAGGAGAGAAAGAAUCUGUUCAGCACAAUUAAACCACCUACACACAGACUUACCAAGCAGAAAACAAAGAAUAAGGAAGAAAACAUCCGCCACCACCUGAGAAAUUGAAUGGUACCAGCCAAGAGGAAAGUCACUCGUGCCUGUGGUCAAGCUUCAGGCAAUCCCAGUGACCUUGUGCUGCC